rnacentral:rRNA from 1 species
UACGAAGGGGGCUAGGCGUUGCUCGGAAUCACUGGGCGUAAAGGGUGCGUAGGCGGGUCUUUAAGUCAGGGGUGAAAUCCGUGGAGCUCAACUCCAGAACUGCCUUUGAUACUGAAGAUCUUGAGUUCGGGAGAGGUGAGUGGAACUGCGAGUGUAGAGGUGAAAUUCGUAGAUAUUCGCAAGAACACCAGUGGCGAAGGCGGACUCACUG